UAUACUGUACAUAUAUACUUUCAGACAAUUUUAUGCUGUGUAAGAACCAGCGCGGCCUAAAGGUCCAUCAGGCUAGAAUGAAAUGUUUGGAGCGGGAGAGUGAGGUGCAACGCACAGGUCCCGAACCUGGUGAGACGCAGGAGGAGCCCGGCCCGGAGGCACCCCACAGAGCCCAGUCCCUCCACGCACCGGACUCUUCCAAUCCAAGCAGUGUAGUUCCACAACAGCGGAUUAAGUGGCCCCCAGCCAGCAGCCGGAGCGAGUGGCAGAAGUUUGAUGAGGAUGUUUCCAACAUUAUACAAGCUGUGGCCAAAAGAGAUGCUGACAGCAGGCUUAAAACAAUGACCACCAUCAUAGUCAGCUAUGCCUCAGAAAGGUUUGGCCUGACUGAGAAGGGUAAUAACAAGACCCCUUACACCAUGAACCGCAGGGCCAUGAAGAUUCAUCGACUGCGCCAGGAGCUUAGGAGCCUUAAGAAGCAGUUUAAGGAGGCUGAUGCGGAGGAGAAGCAAGCUUUAGAGGAACUGCAUAACAUCUUGCGGAAGAAGCUGAUUACCCUCCGAAGAGCAGAAUGGCACAGGAGGCGGGGAAGAGAGAGAGCCAGGAAACGUGCAGCUUUUAUUGCUGAUCCCUUUCGCUUUUCCAAACAAUUGCUUGGGGUUAAGCGAAGCGGCCAGUUGGAGUGCUCAGCAGAGGAGGUGAAUAACUUCCUUCAUGAGACCAUGAGUGACCCACUGAGGGAACAAGACUUGGGACCAAACAAAGCUCUCAUCAACCCUGCCCCACCAUCAGUAGAGUUCAAGUUGACAGAGCCAAGUUUGAAGGAGGUGUGUGAGGUCAUCAAGGCAGCCCGCUCAGCAUCCUCCCCAGGUCCCAGUGGCGUACCGUACCUUGUUUAUAAGCGCUGCCCAGAGCUCCUUCGCCACCUGUGGAAGAUCUUAAAGGUGAUAUGGCGGAGAGGGAGAGUCGCUGAUCAGUGGAGGUACGCAGAGGGAGUCUGGAUUCCCAAAGAAGAGGACUCGAAAAACAUAAACCAGUUUCGGAGCAUCUCGCUACUGAGCGUGGAGGGUAAGGUGUUUUUUAGCGUUGUCUCCCGGAGAUUGACCGAGUUUCUCCUUAGAAACAAUUAUAUUGAUCCAUCAGUUCAGAAGGGGGGGAUCCCAGGUGUCCCUGGUUGCCUAGAGCACACUGGUGUAGUUACACACCUUAUAAG
rnacentral:lncRNA from 1 species